AUAGAGAAGCUCACUGCAGAUAAUAUUCAAAUUUACUUUAUUUUGGCAUCCUUUCAAAGAAGCUGCAAGUACAAUAUAAACAGCUGGACGGUGAGGGCAAAAUACCAGUCUGAUCUUCCUCCAGAUGUAAUUUCACUGCUGUUUGAACGCCAGAACGCUGGAUUUUCUCAAGUUAAUCAAGGAUCUCCAAAGCAGGCACCUGAGCCAGAAUUUCAUUUCCUGCUUUAACUGCUAAGAGUCACUGCCAGAUGGAAAGAGAUAGAAAAAGCCAACGGGACAGAAAAAUUUUGCUGCGCUCCAGCCUUUGCAUUUCAGCCAACACAGGGAACUUCUGCAGAGUCCAAAUGCACUAAAGUUGGAGUUGAUAUAUCUUAGCCUGUUGGCCUGUGGAGUUGAUUGCUGACUUGCUUUUCCUGACUUUCCUGCUGCAAGGGUCUCCAAAUGGCAUUGUUACUCUAAAGUGCUGUUAAAAGGAGUAACGACCGUGACUCCCUCCUCAUUACGUUUCUAUACAGGGAGCUGGGUUUUUCAUGUAACUGCAAGAGAAAUGCCGGAGGGAGACUUCAGGAGUUGCUGGCUGUGUAUUCUACUGGCAGCAGACAGGAAGGAUCGGGAUAAUUCCUGCACUUUUGAUGGGUUGUGCUAUCUCCAGAUAUUGCUGAAUCAUUGAGGCCAUAGAACUUCCACCUGGAACUCAUAAAAAUGUUGGGGGCAAGCAGCAUUUCGAUCUAAAAUUUACCACAUUGAAGCAUGUACUGAAUUAACUUCUUUUGUUUCCUUUUUAAAUGCUGCCAAGGAGAAAAUCGCUGAAUAUACCUACAGGGUUUUUUCUCACUACCACCCUCCAGUCUAUCUAGCACACAAAUGGAAGCUCUGGAUAUGUGGGUCUUGUGGAUAAAGAGAAUAAUCUUUUGCAGAUUUUCCCUGGUCUAUAAGUUGAUUUAUUACGUAGUAUGAAGUGAAAGACGGUUUCAUCUCUUACUGGGUAUUGACAUCAUCUUUACAUUGAACAGCAGAAGUAAAUCUGUGAAUGUCCAAGUGACACAGUCAGAUGAAUCUUGGAUACAAAUGUGGUGGGGGAAAAGUCCUGGGAAACAUCAGCGCUGCUGACAGGAUGUAAUAAAGACAGGUUGUACCUCUGUCAUUGAUUACGCCUAUGAGAAGGGUCCUCAGAGAAACUAUAGCAGAACAUCUCUGUUUUAAGUAUUUUAAGACCAGAGCUCUGUUAACAGCCAUGUUUGGCUGUAUUACUGUUAUUACAAGUUCUGCUGGGACAGCACAGCUGAUAAUAUUAAAAAUAAUAGUCAAAAAUAUUAAAAACCUACACAUCAGCCAAGCUAUUUUCUCCUUCCUCCCAUGCCCAGUGUGUUGAGCAAAUCACAGAUAUAGUUAACGAAAGAAAUCCUACCCAUUCUUCCUCCUAAUUCACACAGUUUAAACAUUCUGCAGAGCAGGGUGUUGGUAACAGAUGGAUUGUUACAGCGUGUGCCGUGAAUACCUAGGAAGGAUGGAAUGUAUUUUGUAUCAAUAUUGUGAUUGGGAAAUAAAAAUCCUUGAGAAGACUCA